UACAGAGGUCUCAAGCGUUGUUCGGAUUCAUUGGGCGUAAAGGGUGCGUAGGCGGCGCGGUAAGUCGGGUGUGAAAUCUCGGGGCUUAACUCCGAAACUGCAUUCGAUACUGCCGUGCUUGAGGACUGGAGAGGAGACUGGAAUUUACGGUGUAGCGGUGAAAUGCGUAGAUAUUGGGAAGAACACCGGUGGCGAAAGCGCUCUGCUGGACCUGCACUGACACUGAGGGACGAAAGCUAGGGGAGCGAAAGGG
rnacentral:rRNA from 1 species